CCUACGGGAGGCUGCAGUGGGGAAUAUUGCACAAUGGGCGCAAGCCUGAUGCAGCCAUGCCGCGUGUGUGAAGAAGGCCUUCGGGUUGUAAAGCACUUUCAGCGGGGAGGAAGGCGGUGAGGUUAAUAACCUCAUCGAUUGACGUUACCCGCAGAAGAAGCACCGGCUAACUCCGUGCCAGCAGCCGCGGUAAUACGGAGGGUGCAAGCGUUAAUCGGAAUUACUGGGCGUAAAGCGCACGCAGGCGGUCUGUCAAGUCGGAUGUGAAAUCCCUGGGCUCAACCUGGGAACUGCAUUCGAAACUGGCAGGCUGGAGUCUUGUAGAGGGGGGUAGAAUUCCAGGUGUAGCGGUGAAAUGCGUAGAGAUCUGGAGGAAUACCGGUGGCGAAGGCGGCCCCCUGGACAAAGACUGACGCUCAGGUGCGAAAGCGUGGGGAGCAAACAGGAUUAGAUACCCCGGUAGUC
rnacentral:rRNA from 1 species